rnacentral:lncRNA from 1 species
GGCUCCUGCAAAGGCUGGGACCUCAGGUGCUGCUUCCUCAACCCUCUCAGUGACCACGACUCAAAGGAGAGACCUGAAGGGUGCGAGGAGCAACAGUGCUUGGGCUGCAUUCCAGGAAAGACACCUGUCCAGAGAAACGGAUCAGGCUGUCGCAUGUAAGAUUGAAUCAGAGAUGGUGGUUUGGGGGUGAUUUGGACAAAUUAGGUUAGUUUAACAAAGCUCUGAAGUGGCAGAAGAUCUCUCCUGGACUACUGAUUGAACACAGAACAAGAGAUGAGCAUGGUGUCAGACUAAGUCUUAGAGAGAUGCAGGCCAGUCUCCUCCCACAGGGCCUUUGGACUGCAGGGACAGACACUGCUUCGUACCCUCCGCCAGCAGGAGUCACGCUAAAAUAGGCAUAAAUGGCUAAACACAGACCCCCAACACCCCCACCAGGAGGAACACGGCAGAUUCUAUAAUGGCGCAGCCAGAAGUCUGUGGGCGUACAGGCAGCAAAGGGGAGAAACAGAACCGACACCGGCCUCGGCUGAUGUGCAAGAAAAAGCGGGAAGGGAGUGUCACGGAUGCUUCUGAAGCACGCGAGCGUGA